rnacentral:rRNA from 1 species
UAGGGAAUAUUGGUAAUCUGGGAAACCGGGAACCAGCAACGCCGCGUGCGCGAUGAAGGCCUUCGGGUUGUAAAGCGCUUUUUGAGAGGAUGAGGAAGGACAGUACUCUUAGAAUAAGCCUCGGCUAACUCCGUGCCAGCAGCCGCGGUAAAACGUAGGAGGCUAGCGUUAUCCGGAUUUACUGGGCGUAAAGCGUGUGUAGGCGGUUUGAUAAGGUGGAUGGGAAAGCUCCUGGCUUAACUGGGAGAGGUCGUUCAAAACUAUCAGACUUGAGAGGGGUAGAGGGAGGUGGAAUUCCGCAUGUAGUGGUGAAAUGCGUAGAUAUGCGGAGGAACACCAGUGGCGAAAGCGGCCUCCUGGCCCAUUUCUGACGCUCAGACACGAAAGCUAAGGUAGCAAACG